CCUUUUUUGUCCUUUUGCGUGGUCCUUGGGUCUAUAAAUAGAGCCCUUAGGUCCUCCUUCUUCUUCAUCCAUGACUCUUCUUGUGAGUCUUUUUGCUGAUUUUAUUCAGGGAGAGAUUGAGGAGCUGGAUCGAAUUUUGAAUAUUUUGGAUUCUCGGUCGUCGGCCUUGGAUCUUCCUUCUCUGCGCCAAAUUAUUGUUGAGCGGCAGAGUGUUGCUG
rnacentral:lncRNA from 1 species